rnacentral:rRNA from 1 species
GUGUCAGCAGCCGCGGUAAUACAGAGGGUGCGAGCGUUAAUCGGAUUUACUGGGCGUAAAGCGUGCGUAGGCGGCUUUUUAAGUCGGAUGUGAAAUCCCCGAGCUUAACUUGGGAAUUGCAUUCGAUACUGGGAAGCUAGAGUAUGGGAGAGGAUGGUAGAAUUCCAGGUGUAGCGGUGAAAUGCGUAGAGAUCUGGAGGAAUACCGAUGGCGAAGGCAGCCAUCUGGCCUAAUACUGACGCUGAGGUACGAAAGCAUGGGGAGCAAACAGGAUUAGAUACCCUGGUAGUCCAUGCCGUAAACGAUGUCUACUAGCCGUUGGGGCCUUUGAGGCUUUAGUGGCGCAGCUAACGCGAUAAGUAGACCGCCUGGGGAGUACGGUCGCAAGACUAAA